rnacentral:rRNA from 1 species
GAUGAACGCUGACAGAAUGCUUAACACAUGCAAGUCCACUUGAACUUCGGUUUGGGUGGCGGACGGGUGAGUCACGCGUAAAGAACUUGCCUCACAGAUAGGGACAACAUUUGGAAACGAAUGCUAAUACCUGAUAUUAUGAUUAUAUGGCAUCGUAUAAUUAUGAAAGCUAUAUGCGCUGUGAGAGAGCUUUGCGUCCCAUUAGCUAGUUGGAGAGGUAACGGCUCACCAAGGCGAUGAUGGGUAGCCGGCCUGAGAGGGUGAUCGGCCACAAGGGGACUGAGACACGGCCAUUACUCCUACGGGAGGCAGCAGUGGGGAAUAUUGGACAAUGGACCAAGAGUCUGAUCCAGAAAUUCUGUGUGCACGAUGAAGUUUUUCGGAAUGUAAAGUGCUUUCAGUUGGGAAGAAAAAAAUGACGGUACCAACAGAAGAAGUGACGGCUAAAUACGUG